UAUCUAAACAUGAAAACUAUCAAUAAAAUUAAAAUCUAUUUCAACAAGGGGAAAACAGAGUGUAAACAAAAGGUGCGUAUGGAAUAUCUGGGUCUAAAUUUAAUCAGGGAUUCAUUUACGUGUAACACCUAAUGGCAGCUCUUAACUCGUUGUCUUUUCUCUCUAAUGUCUCUACCAAUUUGUUAUGGUGUUACACAUCAUUAUAUUUUCCUUGAUUCUGUAAUUAUCAAUACUAAUUAUUACAUUGGAUUAUUGUGCUCCAACCUCAAUGGAGAAACUGUUCUCAUGUGAAAUAUGUGAAAAGGAAUUCUCCGAAAUUUUGAAGCAACAUACUCUUGGUCAUGGCCGUGAAAGUGUGCUGAAAGCGGAAGAUGAGAACCCUCCGGAUACAAACGAUGUUAAUUCUAUUGUCAAUAACACCAAAAUAAACACUGUAAACGAAUGUCUCCAACCUGACAUGCAAGAACAUGAUAAAAGUGAAUUGGUUGAUGCCGACAAUCCUAUAGCCAUUGUGACAGUGACGGAGAGAGACGGAGCAGAUCAGCUUGAAAAUUAUGAUCAGCAACAACAGUUGGAAACCUUCAAAAAUAGUAAUGUUUUUGACACCAAUGAAUCUAACACUACUUGUAUUGGCAACCCAACUUACGAGCAUUCACUACAGCUUGAAGAAGCUGAUAUCAGAACCGGUGAGGAUUUGGACAACAGUGAUAAACUUGAGUUAUCAAAUCCAUCAGAUUUAGAGCAAGAAGAAGAAUGUUGUGGUACAAUUGCAUACAAUUGUGAAACAGAUAAUGAAAUAGUAAGUGAAGGCAAUGUCUGCCAGGAAACUCUUAAUUUAGCCACACAUCUUAUUCAAUUAUCCAGUAGUAACCCAGUGACACAAACAAACAGUGGUUAUACUGUAAGUAAGCCAUACAUGUGCAGUUUAUGCCAUAAGUGUUUCAGUCGCAACUACCAUCUAAAAAUGCAUUCCCUUACUCACUCGGGGCUAAAACCAUUUUCUUGUUUCACCUGUUCAAAAUCUUUUUCUCGCAGUUCUGACUUAAAACGCCAUUUAGCAACUCACACAGGGGUCAAACCCUUUGGCUGUACACUCUGUCAAAAAUAUUUUUCUCGUUCUUCUGAUUUACGUCGUCAUACUGCAACCCACAGUGGUGAACGGCCACAUUCAUGUCAAGUAUGUCAGAAAGCCUUUACCCGCAGCUCAGAUCUUCACAGACACAGUCAAACACACACAGGAAUCAAACCUCAUGCCUGCCAAAUAUGUGGUAAAGCUUUCUCUACAGCCACUCACCUCAAAAGACACACUACAACACACACUACAGAACAGAAAGCUUUCAAUGUGACCAUUGUUAGCAAUCUGACAUCAAAGUGCAUCACUUAAAUUCUUCUCUACUCUUUUAUACAAAUUGCAGCCCUGCAAGCAACACUGAUACAAACCAUAUCUCAGUGCCUCAUGUUCAAAAGAAACAGCAAGUUUUGUUGAACGGAGGGAGAAGAUAGUGCCCAGGAUCCUUUGCAGGGCUUCUGAGGUUAGUGAAAAGGAGAGAAUAAGGAAAAUAUGUCUCUAGGGUUGUCAACCGAAACUUUCUUAACUAAAAUGAAUCAUGAAGCUAAUUGUUUUCUUUACUAAUGAAUGAUCUGAAUUCAUUAAACUAUUGUCAUCCUGCAUUCAAUAUUAAACCAUAAGUAUUUGAUAAGCAUUACCCAAGAAUGGAGUAGUGGAGCCAGUGUAUGGAAGUGUACAUAGCAGUAAAGAAGUUGAGAGAAACCGUGGCUGCCUUCUUGGUAUUGUUGGAGUGGUUAUUAGACAGAAUUUAUUGCAACAUUUGUCAGUUUGAGGAGUUUCUCUCUGGGAAUGUCAACUAAUCAAAACUAGUGUUUAAUUAAUGAUCCAUUUCUGAAAGAAUCAGGCCAGAGUUGAAUGGUGUCCCCCACCCUGUGGCCUCACCCUACUGUAACAAUAUUAACAAUAAAUAAAGUAUUUACUAACUUUUGAUGACCUUUGAUGGUCAAAUAUCUGGA